rnacentral:rRNA from 1 species
GAUGAACGCUGGCGGCGUGCCUAAUACAUGCAAGUCGAGCGAACGGACGAGAAGCUUGCUUCUCUGAUGUUAGCGGCGGACGGGUGAGUAACACGUGGAUAACCUACCUAUAAGACUGGGAUAACUUCGGGAAACCGGAGCUAAUACCGGAUGAUAUUUUGAACCGCAUGGUUCAAAAGUGAAGGACGGUCUUGCUGUCACUUAUAGAUGGAUCCGCGCUGCAUUAGCUAGUUGGUAAGGUAACGGCUUACCGAGGCAACGAUGCAUAGCCGACCUGAGAGGGUGAUCGGCCACACUGGAACUGAGACACGGUCCAGACUCCUACGGGAGGCAGCAGUAGGGAAUCUUCCGCAAUGGGCGAAAGCCUGACGGAGCAACGCCGCGUGAGUGAUGAAGGUCUUCGGAUCGUAAAACUCUGUUAUUAGGGAAGAACAUAUGUGUAAGUAACUGUGCACAUCUUGACGGUACCUAAUCAGAAAGCCACGGCUAACUACGUG